GACGAACCGUACAAACGUUAUUCGGAAUCACUGGGCUUAAAGGGUGCGUAGGCGGCCCGGAAAGUUGGGUGUGAAAUCCCUCGGCUCAACCGAGGAAUUGCGCCCAAAACUGCCGGGCUUGAGGAAGACAGAGGCAAGCGGAACUUAGGGUGGAGCGGUGAAAUGCGUUGAUAUCCUAAGGAACACCGGUAGCGAAGGCGGCUUGCUGGGUCUUUUCUGACGCUGAGGCACGAAAGCUAGGGGAGCGAACGGG
rnacentral:rRNA from 1 species